GAGACCCGAACUGUCUCUCGCUCAUCUGGCCCUCUCUCUCACUCGGUCUCUCUUCUCCCGUAGCCUUCCUCCUCAUCUUCUUUCAAUCCUCAUCCUCUCUCUCUUCCCAACCCAAACCCUAAUCUCUUCCACUCCAGCCGACUCUCCUCCUCAGCUCAGCUCACACAAGGCUUUCCCGCCCAAUCGCCCAUUUGUUUCUCCGACCGCCGCUCGAUUUUGUUCAUGUAAGUAUACGGUCUAAUUAGAUUGAUGGUAAUUGCUGAUUAGAUUUUUUGUUUUGUUUCUGGAUAUGGUUGCUGUCGUUUUGAUUUGAUAUCAGUCGUUUCGUGCUGGUUUCGCUGUUAUGGUUAUGAAAUUAGGGUUUUAUGGGACUCGGAUUGAUGUGGGUUGAAUGAGAUAAUUACCAUUAGAUUUAAUUUUUUUCAUGUGGGUCGGUUUUGUUUUGUUUUUGAUAGCUCAAUCUGUGAGUUUCUUACCUGUGGGUUUUGGUAGCGUGUUACCCUUUAUAAUCAUUGUUCUUACAAAAUCGAAACCUAAAUCACACAUAUUCGCCAUCUCUUUCGCCGAUCUGCAACUCUCUUUCGCCAUCUCUCCGGUUAAUGUGCAGAAACCCUUCGCUACUCUCCCAACUUCGACUUCAUCUCACGGUACUCUCUCUCUCUCUCUUUCUCUGUCUUACACACACAGGGCACAGAAAUAUGAAAUUUCUUUCAAUUGUGCAAGUUUGAAAAGAUGAAAGAUUUAAGGUAAUAGCAGAUGUGAUUGUUCAAUGAAUCUUUAGUUUGUGCAUCACUUGAAAUCUCAAAGAGAGGGAAUUAUCGAUCGCUUGAUCAAUGAAUCUUUGGAUGGAUCGGUAUGCAAGUUAUGCCGAGUGAGGUGUUUCUUGUGGUUGUCUCUAUUCACAGGUUAUAUUUUCUCUAGCUAAUGGAUUUUAUUUGGGACAACUAGAUAUUGUAUCUGUUUGGGAAUCUUUGGUCUAAGCACUUUGAGGAUGUCCCUUUAGUGUGCCUUCGUCUUAACUGGGCUGGAUUUUUGUAUAGAGUGGUGCUGGAGUUCUGCUUUUAAUUUCUCCCCUAUGUGAGCUUCAUCUCUUACAAAGAAAAAGAAAGACUGCAGUUCUGUGAACAAAUCCUUGGUGUUCUAGAAGAGGAUUAUAUCAUUAAGUGCAUGCAUCAGCUGGAUAAGGUUCCGAAAAAAUCAUGAUGCUCAGAUCCUAAACUGUGCACUUUAUUCCAGGUUACGGAUGGAAUAUUCUUGGAAGAACCUGGUUCUGGUGCUGUAGCAACUAUUGAGAACAAAAAGGUUUCUGUUGGGACUUUGGAAUGGGUUCAAAGGUGAUAUCUGGUGUUAAACCGACGGAAAAGAAGAAUUUCAUAAUGGAACUUCAGAAGGAUCAGAACGUCGUAGCAAUGGUUGGUGAUGGAUGCUGCAGCAUUGGCUUCAUCGCAUGUUGGAAUUGCCAUGGGUGGUGGUGUUGGAGCUGCUAGUGAGGUGUCUUCUAUUGUGCUAUUGGGCAACAGACUUUCAUAGUUACUUGAUGCCUUGGAGCUGAGCACGCUAACUAUGAAGACUGUCAAGCAAAAUCCUGAUGCUAGCACUUGAUCUUGCUCCAUCUUUGACCUCCCAGCCACUUUGCCUAGCCGAUACCCAGUAGCUUGAUGUAUCAAACCUAGAAGAUAGUUAUUGUAGUUUUUCCUAUUUUUGUUCGGACAUCUUGUAUGUACAUUUUCAUAUAUUUUAUAAUUAAAUAUUUUUUCUUGGUUUA